rnacentral:rRNA from 1 species
UACAGAGGUCUCAAGCGUUGUUCGGAUUCAUUGGGCGUAAAGGGUGCGUAGGCGGCGCGGUAAGUCGGGUGUGAAAUCUGGAGCUUAACUCCGAAACUGCAUUCGAUACUGCCGUGCUUGAGGACUGGAGAGGAGACUGGAAUUUACGGUGUAGCGGUGAAAUGCGUAGAUAUCGUAAGGAAGACCAGUGGCGAAGGCGGGUCUCUGGACAGUUCCUGACGCUGAGGCACGAAGGUCAGGGGAGCAAACGGGG